CUUACACAUGCAAGUCUAGGCAGAAAGUACCUUCGGGUGCGAGUAAACUGGCGAACGGGUGAGUAACGUGUAGGUAAUUUGCCUACGAGUGGGGAAUAGGUCCGGGAAACCGGAAUUAAUACCGCAUAACGUCAUGCUCCGAUGGGAGUGUGAUCAAAGGUGGGGACCUUCGGGCCCAUCGCUUGUAGAUAAGCCUGCAUCUGAUUAGUUAGUUGGUAGGGUAACGGCCUACCAAGACCGCGAUCAGUAGCUGUUCUAAGAGGAAGAUCAGCCACAUUGGGACUGAGAUACGGCCCAGACUCCUACGGGAGGCAGCAGUGAGGAAUUUUGCGCAAUGGGAGAGAUCCUGACGCAGCAACGCCGCGUGACCGAUUGAAGCUUUUAGGAGUGUAAAGGUCUGUCGUGAGGGAAGAAAAAGACCGAGAAUAAUAAGUUCGGUAAUUGACGGUACCUCACAAGCAAGCUCCGGCUAACUUCGUGCCAGCAGCCGCGGUAAUACGAGGGGAGCAAGCGUUGUCCGAAAUAACUGGGCGUAAAGGGUACGUAGGCUUUUUUGUAUGUUUCCGGUGAAAUUCACAGGCUCAACUUGUGACUUGCCGGAAAAACUGCAGAGAUUGAAUCCGGAAGGGGAAGGCGGAAUUCCUGGUGUAGCGGUGAAAUGCGUAGAUAUCAGGAGGAACACCAGUGGCGAAGGCGGCUUUCUGGUCCGGAAUUGACGCUGAGGUACUAAAGCGUGGGUAGCAAACAGGAUUAGAUACCCUGGUAGUCCACGCCCUAAACGAUGGAUACUUGAUGUCGGGAUGUUCGGUCGUCUCGGUGUCGUAGCUAACGUGUUAAGUAUCCCGCCUGGGGACUACGGUCGCAAGACUGAAACUCAAAGGAAUUGACGGAGGCCCGCACAAGCGGUGGAGCAUGUGGUUUAAUUCGACGCAACGCGCAGAACCUUACCUGGGUUUGACAUGGCACUGCGAUGCCCUGCGAGGGGCAGUUCCUUCGGGACGGUGUCACAGGUGCUGCAUGGCUGUCGUCAGCUCGUGUCGUGAGAUGUUGGGUUAAGUCCCGCAACGAGCGCAACCCUUGCCCUUCGUUACCAGCAGGUGAGGCUGGGGACUCGAGGGGGACUGCCGGUGUCAAGCCGGAGGAAGGUGGGGAUGACGUCAAGUCCUCAUGGCCCUGACGCCCAGGGCUACACACGUGCUACAAUGGAGCGGACAACGGGGAGCGACCCUGCGAGGGGGAGCCAAUCCCUGAAACCGGUUCUGAGUGCGGAUUGGAGUCUGCAACUCGACUCCAUGAAGGUGGAAUCGCUAGUAAUCGCGGAUCAGCAUGCCGCGGUGAUACGUUCCCGGGCCUUGUACACACCGCCCGUCACACCACGAAAGUUGAGUGUACCCGAAGUCGCCG
rnacentral:rRNA from 1 species